rnacentral:rRNA from 1 species
GACGAACGCUGGCGGCGUGCCUAAUGCAUGCGAGUCGAGCGACGCACAUCGGAGGGGUCACCCACCGAUAUGACGGAGCGGCGAACGGGUGAGUAACACGUGAGCAACCUGCCCCACAGAUCGGGAUAGCCCAGGGAAACCUGGAUUAAUACCGAAUACCCUCGAGUAACCACAUGAUUGUUCGAGGAAAUGCCUUUGUGCUGUGGGAUGGGCUCGCGGCUUAUCAGCUAGUUGGUGGGGUAACGGCCUACCAAGGCAUCGACGAGUAGCUGGUCUGAGAGGACGAUCAGCCACACUGGGACUGAGACACGGCCCAGACUCCUACGGGAGGCAGCAGCAGGGAAUCUUGCGCAAUGGGCGAAAGCCUGACGCAGCAACGCCGCGUGGGGGAUGAAGGCCUUCGGGUUGUAAACCCCUUUCAGGAGGGAAGAAAUUGACGGUACCUCCAAAAGAAGCCCCGGCUAACUACGUG